CGCGCGUCAAAAGCAACUGAGAUUGCCCUGCUUAUUAAUUUUAGAAGCUGGAUGAGAGAGCAGAUAAUAUUCACACAAACUUCCAGAGACUUGUCAUUAUAAUACAAUAUAACAAAGUAAACAGCUUCUUUCUUCUACCCACCUGUCUCACCCUGAGUCCCCGCAGCGUGUGUUGUUGUGGCUUUGGUUUUUUCAAACUCGACGCGCGCGCUGCGUGCGCUCCGCUCCGCUCUCUUCUCAGCGACGCUCGACUAGCACUUCCGUGUUGGCGAGUCCCGACGUCACGCGGAAUGUGAAGCAGGAAACGCGGAUGUGUUGCGCUUAAUCUGCAUCUACAGGUAUUCGCAAACAACUCUCUUUCUUUCUUCACUUUAUUAAUUCUUAUCAACACAAGACACCGUAGCGCCAUUUUUGAUCAUGUGUUUUUAUAGCCGUCAGUUUAAGCUCUGAAGGGUUCUGAUCGGAUUCGCUUAAUUCGUAUUUGUGUGUGUGUGUGUGUGUGUGUGUGUGUGUGUGUGUGUGUGUGUGAUCCAGACGUGUUCCGAUCCAUAUGUCAAACCCAAACCCCCUUUCAAGCUGAUCUGAUCCAAACGCAGUGCAUCGGACGCGGGUCGGACGGAACCGAGUGGAGGAAUGCCUACCGGUGUGUGUGGAUGUUGUGGUCCUCUGCGGCCACGCUACAAGCGUCUAGUGGACAACAUUUUCCCAGAGGACCCCAAGGAUGGACUGGUGAAAUCCGAUAUGGAAAAGUUGACUUUUUAUGCAGUGUCCGCACCAGAGAAGCUGGACCGUAUCGGAGCGUACCUGGCCGAACGCCUCAGCAGAGAUGUGGUACGACAUCGCUACGGGUACGUGGUAAUAGCAAUGGAGGCGUUGGAUCAGUUGUUGAUGGCAUGUCAUUCCCAGAGUAUCAAGCCGUUUGUGGAGAGCUUCUUACACAUGGUAGCCAAACUGCUGGAAUCCAGAGAACCCGAUUUACAAGUGCUGGGAACCAACUCCUUUGUGAAGUUUGCAAACAUUGAGGAGGAUACGCCAUCUUACCAUCGCAGAUAUGACUUUUUCGUCUCUCAGUUCAGUGCCAUGUGUCACUCCACACACGAGGACCCCGAAACUCGCAACAGGAUCCGUGUAGCAGGCAUUAAGGGUCUCCAGGGUGUCGUCAGAAAGACUGUGAAUGAUGAACUCCAGGCAAUCAUCUGGGAACCUCAACACAUGGAUAAACUCAUCCCCUCCAUGCUGUUCAACAUGCAAGAUAAUGAGGACUCCGAGAGGUACAGGGCUUUCAAACGCAUCUCUUCCUCUAUCACACCGCCUCACCUUCUCCAUCACAUCUCUCCGUCUCUUAUGUCUCGCUCUUUCUCUUGCUCUCUCCUAAUUAAACUGUGCGCGGUGCGCUCUGUAUUUAUUAAACUUGCGCAUUUAGACAACCAUCGUCUGUGGGACCCGAAUGAUUUUGCUGUUUCCUGUUUCAGGAUAAUCAUGUACUCAAUACAGGCCCAGCAUUCUCACCAUGUGAUCCAGCAAGUGUUGUCUCACCUUGACACCCACAGUAAGAACACCCCGCGUGUGAGGGCAGGUAUCGUUCAGGUGCUGCUGGAGACGGUUGCCAUAGCAGCCAAGGGCUCCAUCGGUCCCACGGUCCUGGAGGUGUUUAACACCCUGCUAAAGCAUCUGCGUAUGAGUGUGGAUUUUGAGCUGGGCGACGGUUCCCGCAGGAACUCCGCGAGCAGCCUUUCCUCCACCCGCACCAAAGAGAGCGAGGAGCGGAUCGUCCAGAAUGCUAUCAUCCAAACCAUUGGUUUCUUUGGAGGAAAUCUUCCUGAUUAUCAGAGAGCUGAAGUGAUGAUGUUCGUUAUGGGGAAAGUUCCUGUUUACGGCACGCCGUGUCACACGCUGGACACCGUUACGUCAGGGUUUAAGUGUAAAACGAUUUGUGCUGGCCUGCCCAUGGCGUUUCUGGAGCCAUUAUGCUCUAUCUCUUUGAUGGAAGACAGUGAACUACGGCAGCUCGUCUUGGAGAUUUUGCACAACAUCAUUGAUCGCCAUGACAACAGAGCCAAACUCAGAGGGAUCCGGAUUAUUCCUAAUGUAGCCGCUCUGAAGAUCAAGAGAGAGAAAAUCUCCAAACAGGAUGUGGUUUUCAUGAAAAAGCAUGGGCAGCAGCUAUACAGACACAUCUAUCUGGGCUGUAAGGAGGAAGAUAAUGUGCAGAAGAACUUUGAGCUGCUUUUCACAGCUUUGGCAUUGAUCACUAUUGAACUUGCCAAUGAGGAGGUGGUGAUUGAUCUCAUACGCCUGUCCAUCGCCCUGCAGGAUAUGGCCCUGGCCAAUGAGGAGAACAUGCCAAUGUUUAUUCGCUGUGGAAUCAUGGCAUUGAUUGCCGCAUACCUCAACUUCCUCAGUCAGAUGAUUGCAAAUCCCCCUUUCUGCCAACACGUCAGCAAGGUGAUUGAGAUGAGAAAUCUAGAUGCUCCGCACCUUUUGCCUGAACACGUCUUCAGAGAGAAGUGUGUGCUCCCAGACUCUUUAGACCGGGACGACGUUGGUUUGUAUUUUCAGACGGCUGAUCUGGCAGAAGCUCUGUCUGUACCUGGAUAUAACGUAGAGAGACUAGCUGUUCCGUACAUACCGCAGGUUACAGAUGAAGAUCGACUGCCCCGUAGGAAGAGUUUUGUCGACACUAUUUCUCUCCAAGUUGACAUCCUUUCCAACAGCUUGCCUGAUCAGUCUCAGCUUGCAGAGGAGAUCACGUUUGAGACCCUGAAGAAGGCCAUCGAUACCACAGGUCUGGAGGAACAGGAGAGGGAGAGGAGACGGCAGGUGAUGGAGAAGUUCCAGAAGGCUCCGUUUGAAGAGAUUGCCGCCCACUGCGAGUCCAAGGCCAACAUGCUGCACGAUCGCUUGGCUCAGAUAUUUGAACUCACCAUUCGCCCUCCCCCGAGCCCAUCGGGCACCGUGACGGUGACGUCAGGCCACGCCCAAUACCAGUCUGUGCCAGUCUACGAAAUGAAGUUCCCUGACCUCUGCGUGUACUGAACCACGGCCUUUCACCUUAACUCUAUCACACAGACUCAACCUUGACAUGUGACCACUGACCUUUAUCACACUUUAUGUGUGUAAACUCACCUGAGCCACUCAUCUUCAUUAGACAUCUUUCACUAUGAACGUCACUUACAUUCAUGUCCAGCAGAAAGAAGGGGUGCAGACUGGACGGCCACUUCAUGCCUCUAUUCUACACCAGUCAGCACACAGAGCUUUACGACCAGCUGUCCAGUCAUACACCAGCUCUGUAGAAUCAUGUGAAUCGUAUGUGUGUGGUUUUCACUUUGAUUCUUGCACUAAACGGCAGCUCCAAGAAUCAAACUGAGUCUUUUAAACACUUGAUUCUUCAGCUUCUUAAUCUAUUGAUUCAAAGGAGUCAUUUAGAAAAUGACUCACUCUGGAUUUAUUAAGGGAACUUAAUUGCUAGCAUUAGCUUAAGUGCUAGUUUAUGUUCAUUAACUCUCAUUUCUAAACCAUCAUCAGCAGAGAGAUUUGAACAUACGAUAGAUUUCUGCUCGCUUAAAUCUCUCCUAUAUAAAUAAUUAUAGUGUACAGUAUCGCACAGUAUAGUAUAGGCUAUUUUUGACAAAUAUAUAUAUAUAUACUUUUAGAUGAAAUGAUUGCUGAUAGUUGCAGAGUGUUAUUUGUAUUCUGUUUGCAUGGCUUAGCCAAUGUUUCAUUGCAAACGUUUGUGAGUUUAGGCCUUUAUUAAUCUACAAUUAGCCUUUAACUUCAAUGUUGUGGAUGUCAACGGGGCUUUUGUUCACCCAGAGUUCUUAGUGAUCACUAUGCUCUCCAUUUUGCCUUCACUGUAUAGAGAAACCAAAUCAUUUGCUUUUCAUCACCAAAGAGCUACGCACUUCCUUUAUGGCCACACACGGCUGCCAAUCAAAUCUUGAGCCAAUCAGAAACUGAAUUCUCUUUGAGGGCGGGAACACCACAGUGUUCUUGAACUCAAACCUCAGAACAGUUUCUAGAAACCCGGGGGCCGAAAAAUGAUGGAUUAUCAGUGAUAAAAUGAUCUGCAUUCAUCAACCAGCUGUUUUUUUUAUCGAGCCACAAGGACGUUGAAAUGCUUUUCUGCUUUUCAGGUGACUUCAUUCAUCUACCUUGGACAAAAUAAAAAUGUGUGUGACUGUUAGAUGCUGAAAUAC
ensembl:lncRNA protein EFR3 homolog A-like